rnacentral:rRNA from 1 species
CUGCGAAAGGAUCCAGGGGGAAUGCGCCCUCCGGCUUUCUUUCUCCCUACGGUGAAACUCACCCGGUUCGAGGUGGUCGGAUUGACCGUUGAGAGCUCUUUAUGCUUCCGUGGGUGGUGGUGUUGGCCGUUGCAGUUGGGCCGAUCGAUUUGUGGGGUUAAAUCCAAUAAGCCCGCAGACUCUAGCCUUCCCAACAGAUGCGUGGCUUAUACGCACGGAUGUGAAUUGUUUGCGGGACAAGAAGAGAGUCAGCUAUCGACAAUCAGUCGAAAUACGGAGUGAUAUGCCUUACAGGUCGGGGGACGCGCGGGCGAUCCCCUGUCCAGAGCACGUGCGUUGUCAGAUAACUCUCCAUGAACUUACCCGAUGGUGCAUUCUCGGAUGUAAGCUGGCACAUGAUGACCAUCUUCUGGCAGUGGGCCGGUCUCCAAUAUCGGGUAAGAAGUGCUGAUGUUACCUCCCCGCAAAUGAUUCCAAAACCCCACUCACCUGCUGUUUAGGGAUUAUAAAAGUGAGGCA